AUGGGCCACAGGAGGCCAGUGGGAAGCAGUCAGAAGGUUGCACAGCUUGUUGUCCCGGUGGUGUGGAGGACUCUGGAUCUGUCAGAAACUGAGUUCCUGUUUGGGGUACCAGCUCCUCACUUCUGGUUCCUCCUUUCCCUGGAACUGUCAAGGCACAGAAGAAGGGAGAAUUCUGAACAAAGCAGAUUUUAAAUAUAUUUGUCACGAAGUGCACAACCUCCAUCCUGAGGGUUGAACUCAGGUCUCAAGUUGUCCAUCAGAGCAAGGGAACCUUAUUAAGGACUCAAUCACAAGGACAAUUGAAAUCAAACAUUUGGUUAAAUGAGGACUAUUGAUAUUUUCUCUUUUCCUUUCCUAGUAAUAAAAAAAAGUAAGUAUAUAAAAAUACUUCUAUC
rnacentral:lncRNA from 1 species